rnacentral:rRNA from 1 species
UACGUAGGUGGCGAGCGUUGUCCGGAUUUACUGGGCGUAAAGAGCGCGCAGGCGGUCGAUCAAGUCGGAUGUGAAAGCCCCCGGCUCAACUGGGGAGGGUCAUUCGAUACUGAUCGACUCGAAGGCAGGAGAGGGAAGCGGAAUUCCCGGUGUAGUGGUGAAAUGCGUAGAUAUCGGGAGGAACACCGGUGGCGAAGGCGACUACCUGGCCUGUUCUUGACGCUGAGGCGCGAAAGCUAGGGGAGCAAACGGG